GAUGAACGCUAGCUACAGGCUUAACACAUGCAAGUCGAGGGUCAGCGCAGUGUAGCAAUACAUGGGCGGCGACCGGCGCACGGGUGCGUAACGCGUAUCCAACCUUCCCGUUACUCAGGGAUAGCCUUCCGAAAGGGAGAUUAAUACCUGAUGGUGUUGAAAUUCCGCAUGUUAUUUCAACUAAAGAUUUAUCGGUAACGGAUGGGGAUGCGUGACAUUAGAUAGUAGGCGGGGUAACGGCCCACCUAGUCUACGAUGUCUAGGGGUUCUGAGAGGAAGGUCCCCCAAACUGGAACUGAGACACGGUCCAGACUCCUACGGGAGGCAGCAGUGAGGAAUAUUGGUCAAUGGUCGGAAGACUGAACCAGCCAAGUAGCGUGAAGGAUGAAGGUUCUAUGGAUUGUAAACUUCUUUUAUACGGGAAUAAAACCUCCCACGUGUGGGAGCUUGUAUGUACCGUAUGAAUAAGCAUCGGCUAACUCCGUGCCAGCAGCCGCCGUAAAAC
rnacentral:rRNA from 1 species